CUUAUUUAGAAAACAUUUCUAAGUAUGAUGUAACUUAUUCUAAGUUGAAUCUGUAUUAUUCGUCUGGUGGUUUAUUUUGGUAUUGAAAUUAUUUUCCUGGGUCCUCGUAUGAGUCUCAUAUGGAGUGUUAUUUAAAAAUCAUAGGUGUGUGAGUUUUCUGGCAGCUGGAGGGUCGUGAAAGCAAGGAGGUUAUGGGAUUAUGUGACAAUGGACGGGCUUACAUGUUACAUGCUUACGGAAGGCUAGGAAAAUAACAUCAUAUUAAAGUCAUUAUGACUUGUUUCCUCACUAUUAAUUCCUUGGAGCUCCCCUACUGCAUUAUGACUGUUAUUUCAACCACAAUUUACCUCAUGAGGAUGAAUGGAUAAAUCAGUACAAAGGAAGAGUGUUCAGUUUAAACGACAAGCCUGUGGUGCACAAAAUUUGGCUGCCGAAUGAGGAAUACCCCAGAUUGGCAAUGUCUAGAGCCUUUGGGGACUACUUUAUUAAGGAUUUUGGACUUAUAUCCGUCCCUGAAGUGAGGUGUUGUCACAUAUAACCAGCAGAGACCAAUUUGUUGUGUUGCGAACCGAUGAGUCUUCCCGCUAGGGGCUGGGAAGAGAUAACAACGGGAGCGUCGAUUGCAUGGCUAUCAAGUACAUCAAAUUUCUGGAUAGGUUUCUUCCCAACCGAUCUGCAAUGGAUUUUGAUUUUGCACAUUACAUGCUCAACGGUGGGAUGGUAAGAAAGGAAAGCCCAACACCAUGCUCUCCAGCCAAAGAAGCUUACAGGAAGAGGAUCCUUGCUUUUAAGAACAACUCUAGGAGAUAGAUUCCCCAAUCUCCAGAAAGGAUUCUUGUUGUUUCUGAGCUCCUAGAUGAGUUUUAUUUGAAUUUACUGGAUUGGAGUAGCAGUAACAUUGUCGCUGCCGCUCUUGGGAAUUCAGUAUAUUUGUGGAAUGCUGCUAAUGGCGCUACUUCUGCACUUGUUGUGAUUGAUGAGGAAAUUGGGCAUGUGACAAGUGUCAGAUGGGCGCCGGAUGGAGUACAUCUUGCUGUUGGUUUAAGUAAUUCCCACAUCCAGCUGUUGGACCCUUCAUCUUGUCGGAUGCUACUUGCUUGGAUUUUGUACCAUGGACAAUGAGGUGAUUUUUUGACAAGUGCAGACUGAAAAUCAAGUGCUAGAAGGUUUAUAAAUUUGGUAAAUAGCAGUGCUAGGAAAUUGAUGAUAUUCUUGACAAAUGGAUUUUGUUCCUGUUUUGGAACAUUGAUGAAUGGUGAAUUGUUUUGG